rnacentral:rRNA from 1 species
UUAAAUUGAAGAGUUUGAUCAUGGCUCAGAUUGAACGCUGGCGGCAGGCCUAACACAUGCAAGUCGAACGGUAACAGGAAGCAGCUUGCUGUUUUGCUGACGAGUGGCGGAAGGGUGAGUAAUGUCUGGGAAACUGCCUGAUGGAGGGGGAUAACUACUGGAAACGGUAGCUAAUACCGCAUAACGUCGCAAGACCAAAGAGGGGGACCUUAGGGCCUCUUGCCAUCGGAUGUGCC